rnacentral:rRNA from 1 species
CGGGAACGGGAGGAAAGGGGUUGGACUCCGGAGAAGGGGCCUGAGAAAAGGCCCCUACGUUUAAGGAGGGCAGCAGGCGCGCAAAUUCCCCACUCUCAGUACGAGGAGGUAGGGACGAGAAAUAACAAGCCCGUUCUCACAAGAGCCCGGUCUUGGGAAUGGGUACAAUUUAACCCUUAACGGAGUAUCUAUGAGAGGGCAAGUCUGGGGCCAGCAGCCGCGGUAUUUCCAGCUCUCAAAAUGCAUAGAAUUAUGGCUGCGGUUAAAAAGCUCGUAGUGGGAUCUGUGCUGGCCUCCCGGUCCACCUCCGGGUGCGCACUGGAGAGGUUGGCUUUGCAGUCAAUUCCUGCGUAUGUACCGAAAGGUGCAGACGCACAUGGACAAUUUUACCUUGAACAAAUCAGAGUGCUCAAAACAGGCGUUUCGCUUGAAUGUUCGUGCAUGGAAUAAUAGAAGAGGAUUUCGGUUUUAUUUUAUUGGUUUUAUAGACUGAGAUAAUGGUUAACAGAGACAAACGGGGGCAUUCGUAUUGCUGCGUGAGAGGUGAAAUUCUUGGACCGUAGCAAGACGGACUACAGCGAAAGCAUUUGCCAAGAAUG